GGGGCUGAUUCUGGAUUCGACGGGAUUUGCGAAACCCAAGGUGCAUGCCGAGGGGCGGUUGGCCUCGUAAAAAGCCGCAAAAAAAUAGUCGCAAACGACGAAAACUACGCUUUAGCAGCUUAAUAACCUGCUUAGAGCCCUCUCUCCCUAGCCUCUGCUCUUAGGACGGGGAUCAAGAGAGGUCAAACCCAAAAGAGAUCGCGUGGAUGCCCUGCCUGGGGUUGAAGCGUUAAAACGAAUCAGGCUAGUCUGGUAGUGGCGUGUCCGUCCGCAGGUGCCAGGCGAAUGUAAAGACUGACUAAGCAUGUAGUACCGAGGAUGUAGGAAUUUCGGACGCGGGUUCAACUCCCGCCAGCUCCACCA
rnacentral:tmRNA from 2 species